GACGGAGGUUGCAAGCGUUGUUCGGAAUUACUGGGCGUAAAGCGCGUGUAGGCGGCUUGCUAAGUCUGAUGUGAAAGCCCGGGGCUCACCCCCGGAAGUGCAUUGGAAACUGGCGAGCUCGAGUCCCGGAGAGGAGGGUGGAAUUCCUGGUGUAGCGGUGAAAUGCGUAGAUAUCAGGAGGAACACCGGUGGCGAAGGCGGCCCUCUGGACGGUGACUGACGCUGAGACGCGAAAGCGUGGGGAGCAAACAGG
rnacentral:rRNA from 1 species